rnacentral:rRNA from 1 species
GAUGAACGCUGGCGGCGUGCCUAAUGCAUGCAAGUCGAGCGAAUGGAUUAAGAGCUUGCUCUUAUGAAGUUAGCGGCGGACGGGUGAGUAACACGUGGGUAACCUGCCCAUAAGACUGGGAUAACUCCGGGAAACCGGGGCUAAUACCGGAUAACAUUUUGAACCGCAUGGUUCGAACUUGAAAGACGGCUUCGGCUGUCACUUAUGGAUGGACCCGCGUCGCAUUAGCUAGUUGGUGAGGUAACGGCUCACCAAGGCAACGAUGCGUAGCCGACCUGAGGGGGUGAUCGGCCACACUGGGACUGAGACACGGCCCAGACUCCUACGGGAGGCAGCAGUAGGGAAUCUUCCGCAAUGGACGAAAGUCUGACGGAGCAACGCCGCGUGAGUGAUGAAGGCUUUCGGGUCGUAAAACUCUGUUGUUAGGGAAGAACAAGUGCUAGUUGACUAAGCUGGCACCUUGACGGUACCUAACCAGAAAGCCACGGCUAACUACGUGCCAGCCGCCGCAGUAA